GAUGAACGCUGGCGGCGUGCCUAACACAUGCAAGUCGAACGGAAAGGCCCAAGCUUGCUUGGGUACUCGAGUGGCGAACGGGUGAGUAACACGUGGGUGAUCUGCCCUGCACUUCGGGAUAAGCCUGGGAAACUGGGUCUAAUACCGGAUAGGACGAUGGUUUGGAUGCCAUUGUGGAAAGUUUUUUCGGUGUGGGAUGAGCUCGCGGCCUAUCAGCUUGUUGGUGGGGUAAUGGCCUACCAAGGCCUCGACGGGUAGCCGGCCUGGGAGGGUGUACGGCCACAUUGGGACUGUGAUACGGCCCACACUCCUACGGGAGGCAGCAGUGGGGAAUAUUGCACAAUGGGCGCCAGCCUGAUGCAGCGACGCCGCGUGGGGGAUGACGGCCUUCGGGUUGUAAACUCCUUUCGCUAGGGACGAAGCGUUUUUGUGACGGUACCUGGAGAAGAAGCACCGGCUAACUACGUG
rnacentral:rRNA from 1 species